rnacentral:rRNA from 1 species
CGGCACGCCUUAUACAUGCAAGUCGAACGCAGUAGCAAUACUGAGUGGCAAACGGGUGAGUAUAAUGUGGGAAUCUGCCUUUUGGUUUGGAAUAACACGGGGAAACUUGUGCUAAUACCGAAUAAGCCUUCACAGGGAAAGUUUUAUACGCCGAAAGAUGAGCCCGCACUUGAUUAGCUAGUUGGUGAGGUAAAAGCUUACCAAGGCGAUAAUCAAUAGCUGGUCUGAGAGGAUGAUCAGCCACAUUGGGACUGAGACACGGCCCAGACUCCUACGGGAGGCAGCAGUAAGGAAUCUUGCACAAUGGGGGAAACCCUGAUGCAGCGAUGCCGCGUGAGUGAAGAAGGCCCUUGGGUUGUAAAACUCUUUCGUCGGGGAAGAAAAUGACUGUACCCGAAUAAGAAGGUCCGGC